UCCUUUCUUGAUUCUCUGGGUAGUGGUGCAUGGCCGUUCUUAGUUGGUGGAGUGAUUUGUCUGGUUAAUUCCGUUAACGAACGAGACCUUAACCUGCUAUUUAGUCGCUCGGUCCUUGUCCGUGCGCACUUCAUAGAGGGACUCUGCGGCGUCAAGCUGCGGUGAGGUUUAAGGCAAUAACAGGUCUGUGAUGCCCUUAGAUGUCCUGGGCUGCACGCGCGCUACACUGAUGCUUGCCUCGUGUUUACCCUCGGCCGAUAGGCCCUGGUAACCCCUAGUCUGCAUCGUGUUUGGGAUUGAUCUUUGCAAUUCUAGAUCAUGAACGAGGAAUGCCUAGUAUGCGCAAGUCAUCAGCUUGUGCAGAUUACGUCCCUGCCCUUUGUA
rnacentral:rRNA from 1 species